CAGAGGUAUCCUGGUGGUGCAGGCACAGCUCUGGUGAGGGUGACAGACUCUCAGAGUCAGCCUGAGGCUGAGCCUGGAUGUGGCAAAACCAGCGUUCAGAAAUAGCUCUUCCCAGCAGUGGGAAUGGCAUCACAGACACGAGCUGCAGCUGGUGUGAGCUGGCCCUUCACUGCCAGAGGCUUUGCUGGCCCAGCUGAAGCCCUCGUCUCCCUCUGUGUGUGCCCGGGUGUCCCUGGUGUGAGCAGGCCUGGCACGGGCAGCACUGCAGGUGAUGGGGCAGCAGGAGGAGGAGGAGGAAGAGGAAGGAGCCCAGCUGCUCCUUGGGCUGCGCUGGAGGGGCUGGAGGGGCUGAGGCUGAGCAGGAUGCUGAGGGUGCUCAGGAUGACCUGCCAGCCUGAAAGUGUUCCAAGGGCAUCACCUCGAGGCAGCAGCUCUGAGGUGUGAAUGAAGGGCACAGUGGCCACUGAAGCCAC